rnacentral:rRNA from 1 species
GAUGAACGCUGGCGGCGUGCCUAAUACAUGCAAGUCGAGCGAACGGACGAGAAGCUUGCUUCUCUGAUGUUAGCGGCGGACGGGUGAGUAACACGUGGAUAACCUACCUAUAAGACUGGGAUAACUUCGGGAAACCGGAGCUAAUACCGGAUGAUAUUUUGAACCGCAUGGUUCAAAAGUGAAAGACGGUCUUGCUGUCACUUAUAGAUGGAUCCGCGCUGCAUUAGCUAGUUGGUAAGGUAACGGCUUACCAAGGCAACGAUGCAUAGCCGACCUGAGAGGGUGAUCGGCCACACUGGAACUGAGACACGGUCCAGACUCCUACGGGAGGCAGCAGUAGGGAAUCUUCCGCAAUGGGCGAAAGCCUGACGGAGCAACGCCGCGUGAGUGAUGAAGGUCUUCGGAUCGUAAAACUCUGUUAUUAGGGAAGAACAUAUGUGUAAGUAACUGUGCACAUCUUGACGGUACCUAAUCAGAAAGCCACGGCUAACUACGUGCCAGCAGCCGCGGUAAUACGUAGGUGGCAAGCGUUAUCCGGAAUUAUUGGGCGUAAAGCGCGCGUAGGCGGUUUUUUAAGUCUGAUGUGAAAGCCCACGGCUCAACCGUGGAGGGUCAUUGGAAACUGGAAAACUUGAGUGCAGAAGAGGAAAGUGGAAUUCCAUGUGUAGCGGUGAAAUGCGCAGAGAUAUGGAGGAACACCAGUGGCGAAGGCGACUUUCUGGUCUGUAACUGACGCUGAUGUGCGAAAGCGUGGGGAUCAAACAGGAUUAGAUACCCUGGUAGUCCACGCCGUAAACGAUGAGUGCUAAGUGUUAGGGGGUUUCCGCCCCUUAGUGCUGCAGCUAACGCAUUAAGCACUCCGCCUGGGGAGUACGACCGCAAGGUUGAAACUCAAAGGAAUUGACGGGGACCCGCACAAGCGGUGGAGCAUGUGGUUUAAUUCGAAGCAACGCGAAGAACCUUACCAAAUCUUGACAUCCUUUGACAACUCUAGAGAUAGAGCCUUCCCCUUCGGGGGACAAAGUGACAGGUGGUGCAUGGUUGUCGUCAGCUCGUGUCGUGAGAUGUUGGGUUAAGUCCCGCAACGAGCGCAACCCUUAAGCUUAGUUGCCAUCAUUAAGUUGGGCACUCUAAGUUGACUGCCGGUGACAAACCGGAGGAAGGUGGGGAUGACGUCAAAUCAUCAUGUCCCUUAUGAUUUGGGCUACACACGUGCUACAAUGGACAAUACAAAGGGCAGCGAAACCGCGAGGUCAGGCAAAUCCCAUAAAGUUGUUCUCAGUUCGGAUUGUAGUCUGCAACUCGACUACAUGAAGCUGGAAUCGCUAGUAAUCGUAGAUCAGCAUGCUACGGUGAAUACGUUCCCGGGUCU